ensembl:rRNA 5S_rRNA 5S ribosomal RNA
GUCUACGGCCAUACCACCCUGAACGCGCCCGAUCUCAUCUGAUCUCGGAAGCUAAGCAGGGUCGGGCCUGGUUAGUACUUGGAUGGGAGAUCGCCUGGGAAUACCGGGUGCUGUAGGCU